rnacentral:misc_RNA from 1 species
UUUCCGUAGGUGAACCUGCGGAAGGAUCAUUAAUGAAUUUAGAUUGAACCAUAGGCGAAAGCCAGUGGUUCUUCUUUCAUAUCCAUAACACCUGUGCACUGUUGGAUGCUUGCAUCCACUUUUAAACUAAACAUUAUUGUAACAAAUGUAGUCUUAUUAUAACAUAAUAAAACUUUCAACAACGGAUCUCUUGGCUCUC